CGGAAGUUUUCGUUUCCAAGGCGACGGCUCUGUGGGCGCUCCAAGCAGAUGGCGGGAGUCAGAACGCUGUAAAGUUACUCCAAGGGGAGCGUACCCGUGUCCGGCGGUCGCCGCCACAGCGACUCGCAGGGAAUAGCAGCCGAAGACGGCGGCCGCCACAACUGGCCCUCGUGUGUGGAGGAUAAACGGCCGACCCAGCCAUCGCGGCGGCUGGUCAAAGGAAAGAGGUAGCGAAGAUCAGGAGUUCAGUUUCAGCGAAGACAGGGAAAGAACCCUUGAAGAUGAUGACCGUCGCUGCAGCGUCUCUACGGGAAGCGUAAGUGAGGACGUUAUCUUUUCCAUCAGUAACUCCAGAAGGGUCAGUGAAGACCUGGGCCACCGCCGCGCUGGUUCUCCGGAGACAGUUAGGAGAGAUGGUGGCCAUGGUCACAGCAGCUCUUGGGAGAGAGUGAGAGGAGACCGCGGAUUUGGCAGCAGCGACGUCCGUUUCCGUGAAGUGGGCGGCCACCAGUCUAGUGACUCUGGAGGAACCGUCAGAGAAGACUGCGGCCUCCAUCUCAGUGGUACCUGGGAGGGGGUCAAGGAAGUCCGCGGCCCCGGAACCAGCGACCCGGGGGAGAGAGGCAGUGAAGACCGCAGCCGCCGCCUCAGUGGCUCUUGGGGAGGAGGGAGUGUCGAUGGCGGCCCCAGCUUUAGUAGUUCCUGGGAGGGAGUAAGUGAAGACCGCGGCUACGCGGCCAGCGACUCCUCCCGGGUGAGCGGCAGCCAAGACUCCUGCCGCCGCCUCAGUGGUUUCUGGGAGAAGGAAAGUGAAGACGGAGGGUUCCGCUGCAGGGGCUCCUGGGAGGGAGCAAGGAAGGACGGCGGCCCUGGUCCUAGCGAAGACGAAGGCGGCCGCUGCAGUGGCUCAUGGGUGACAGCCAGUGAAGACCGUCGUGGCAGCAGGGGCCUGGACUCUUCUCCUCCCCGGAGUCCGUGGGAUCGCACCAUGCCUGGGGUGCCCGGGUCAGGCCCUUCCACCUCCUCUGCGGAGAACACAACGCCGUGCGCCAGGAGGAAAGUGCAUUUUGGUAGCAUACAUGAUGCAGUAAGAGCUGGAGAUGUAAAGCAGCUUUCAGAAAUAGUAGAACGUGGAACCAACAUUAAUGAAGUUGACAUCAUCCAUAAAUUUACCCCUUUACAUUGGGCAGCACAUUCUGGAAGUUUGGAGUGUCUUCAUUGGCUCCUCUGGCAUGGAGCUGAUAUUACACUAGCAACUACGAGAGGUUGGACAGCAGCUCACAUAGCUGCAAUCAGGGGUCAGGAUGCAUGUAUGCAGGCUCUUAUAAUCAAUGGAGCAAAUCUGGCUGCUCAGGAUGAUCGUGGUUGCACUCCUGUACACCUUGCUUCUACACAUGGACAUUCUUUCACUUUACAAAUAAUGCUCCGCAGUGGAGUGGAUCCCAGCAUAACUGAUGUUAGAGAAUGGAAACCUGUACAUUAUGCAGCUUUUCAUGGACGGCUUGGCUGUUUGCAACUUCUGGUUAAAUGGGGAUGUGGCAUAGAAGAUGUGGACUACAAUGGAAACCUUCCAGUUCACUUAGCAGCCAUGGAAGGACACCUUCACUGUUUUAAGUUUCUACUCAGUAGAAUGAGCAGUGCAACACAAGCUUUAAAAGCAUUCAAUGAUAAUGGAGAAAAUGUACUGGAUCUGGCCCAGAGGUUCUAUAAGCAGAACAUUUUACAGUUUAUCCAGGGGGCUGAGUAUGAAGGAAAUGAUCCAAAAGACCAGGAAACUUUAGCAUUUCCAGGUCAUAUGGCUGCCUUUAAGGGUGAUUUGGAAAUGCUUAAAAAAUUAAUAGAAGAUGGAGUAAUCAAUAUUAAUGAACGUGAUAAUAAUGGAUCAACUCCUAUGCAUAAAGCUGCUGGACAAGGCCACAUAGAGUGUUUGCAGUGGAUAAUUAAAAUGGGAGCAGACAGAAAUAUUAUCAACAAAGCAGGGGAGAAACCCAGUGAUGUGGCUAAGAGGUAUCCUUAUCUCUUUUGUUCCCUUUUUGUUUUGUUUUUAAAGUUUUGCAUAUAGUCUUUUAUGCUCAGAAAUCUCUGAAGAUUUAAUGAAUUAUAGGACUCAAAUACUGAUGGAAUGACAAUAUUCAAGUUGAAUAGACAUUUGACAAUGUAUCAACUCUUCUCUCUAAAACCGUGAUUUUAAACUGGGAGGUAGUAUUGUCCCCUUUCCUUGUGGGGGGAGCAUUUGGAAAUAUGUAGGGGUUUGUCACAAUUACUAGUGACUAUCAUUAAUAUUUAGUGAAGUUAGGUCCAGGAAUGGUUAAGUACUAUAUGUUCUACAGUACUCAGAAUAGUGGUACACAGCACAGAAUAAUUACCAAAUGCUGGUACCUGUUGAGAAAUACUGUGUGCUAAAAAGGGGUAAUCAAAAGGAGCCACAUAGCUUUUGAAACAAAUUUUGAUAUUUACAUUUGGAUUAAAUAUAACACCUAUUAUCAAAUGCCUCUAGCUCAUUCAGGUCAGGUCAAGCCCAUUCUUUUGUUUAUUUGGUUGGUUUUUACAAAUUCAACUUAUCAUGUUUCAACUUAUCAACAUAUCAUGUUUCAAGUGCUACAGUUAGUGUUAGGAUUACAAAGAUGAAAAAACAGUUCUUGCCCUCAUAGGAGCUUAGAGUCUUGUGGAGAGAUAAAUUAUAAUUAUUGUAAUAAUCAUUAUUAAUUAUAAUCAUUUUGUGUAAACAUAACUAGUGAUUAUAAUCAUUGUAUCGUAUUACAUCAUAUAUAAGGUAUAGUAAGAACAUAGGAGACUUGCACAAGUCUUCCUAUUUGAAAGUUGUGGGGGAGAAAUAUUAAUACAGAUGAUGUUAAGUGUUAUGAAGGAAACUGUAGGAGCACAGAAUUUAUAUAGAGGUCAAGGAAAAUUAUUUUUUUGGAGAAAGCAACACUUAUGCUGACGCUUGAAGGAGAAAGAGCUAUAACAAAACAUUUGUGUGUUUCAGGAACUGCAUGUGGGUUCAGUACUGCUUAAAUCUCAAGUAGGAGUGCGUACCCUGGCCAGGUACCUCAGUUGGUUGGAGCAUCACACUAAUAUGCCAAGGUUGCAGGUUCGAUCCCAAGUCAGGGCACAUACAAGAAUGGACCAAUGAGUGCAUAAGUAAAUGGAACAACAAAUCAGUCUUGCUCUCUAAAAUCAAUAAAUUAAAAACAAUAAAGUAGGAAUGUAGUCUAACAGAUGCAAAUGAGUCUUGAAAGGACGCAGAACCUAAUCAUUCAUUAAAUUGACAUGCAAUUUUUGUUUGUGAGUUCAUGUUUCUUAAAAUUUUGUCUGUGGAAUUUCUUUGAAACUUUGGAGUGUAUUUUCAUUGUACCUAGGUUCAUAAUUAAUUGAGCCCACUUUAUUUUUAUAAAUACCUUUAUCAAGGUAUAAUUGGCAUACAAUAAAGUAUACACAUACUUGUACAGUACAAAUUAAUGAAUUCUGAUCUGUGUAUACAUAUACCCAUGAAACCAUCACAAUCAAGAUAGUGAAUGUAUUCAUGAACCCCCACAAUCUUCUUGUGCUCUUUUGUAAUCUCUCUCCUUCUCACUGCUGGCUCCCCCAGGCAAACACUGAUCUGCUUUUUGUCACUAUGGAUCAGUUUUCAUUUCUAGAGUUUUAUAUGAAUGGAACCAUACAGUCUGUACUCAUAUAUCUGGGUUCUUUCACUCAGCAUAAUUAUUUUGAGAAUUCAUAUGCAUUAUAGUUCAUUUCUUUCUUAUUGCUGAGUAGCAUUCCAUUGGAUAUAGAAUUCCAAUGGAAUAUUCUAUAAUUUAGCUACUAACUUGUUGAAGGAGAUAGUGAUUGUGUCCAUUUUUUUGUGAUUAUGAAUAAAGCUGCUGUAAAUAUUCACACACAGGCUUUUGUGUGAAUAUAAAUUUUCAGUUCACUUUGGUAAAUUCUUAGGGGUAGUAUUGCUGGGUCAUAUGCUAUGGGUAUCUUGAACUUUACAAGAAACUGCAAAAGUACCUUCCAAAGUGAUUGUAGCAACUUGCAUUCCCACCACCAGUAUUGCAUCCACAGUUUCAGUGGAAACUGUGGUUAUGUAAGUGUAUGAAAAAAUAGAAUUUGGGAUUUUUGUGUUUAGCGAGUAAUUCUCCAUUUUCUAAGAGAAAGCAUUAAACAUCUCAGUUAGCAAAACUGUAGAAAAAUAUGCAGAUUACACGAAUUUACAACCACUCCCAAACCAAGGGUAUAUUACUAAAAGAUUCAUAGCGAUGUGGGAAAGAUCAAAGAAAAUAGAAGAUAUGGAUGGGAAAAGUCAUUAUUUUCCCAUUAAAUUUAAAGCUAUGCUAAGUGCUUUGGAUUGAGGAAUGAUGAAUACUAAGGGGGCUAGACCUAUAGUUAGCCUUAAAACUGGAACCAGAACUAAUUCUACAGUCUAAACUUGGUCAUCAGAGAAAGACAGUAAAUGCAGGUGAUCAAAUAGGGUGGUUUUGGGCUUUCUGUACAAUUUAGCAAAUCUGUUUGGGUCUCCUCUCCCAGUUGGGUUUUUGCCAAUAAAAGUUAUGGAAUCUGUCUUUAAUGUGACUGUUUGCCCUUAGUGUCCAGUGACUGUUUGAGUUUCCCAUGUAGCUAACAUCAAAUUGACCCUGAUUUUCAGAUACAGUUUUGCUCCUUUACUGGUGGGUAGGCUGGCGGCGUAAUGUACAGAGUGUAAUUCCCUAAAUUAAGUUCAAACUGCAGUUUCAAUUAGAAAAUUGUGCUUCUCGUUAAUUGUUGAUUUUUUUUCUACAGGUUUGCCCAUUUAGCAGCAGUAAAGCUGUUAGAGGGGCUACAGAAAUAUGAUGUAGAUGAUGAGGAUGAAAUUGAUGAAAAUGACACGAAAUUUUUUAUAAGACAUGGUGUUGAGGGAAGCACUGAUGCCAAAGAUGAUUUAUGUCUUAAUGAGUCGGAUAAAACAGAUGCCAGAAUGAGAGCCUAUAAGAAAAUUGUAGAACUGAGACAUCUCCUGGAAAUUGCUGAGAGCAACUAUAAACACUUGGGAGGGAUAACAGAAGAGGAUCUAAAGCAGAAGAAAGAACAACUGGAGUCUGAAAAGACUAUCCAAGAGCUGCAGGGCCAGCUGGAGUAUGAACGCCUACGCAGAGAACAAUUAGAAUGUCAGCUGGAUGAGUGUCGAGCAGAGGUGGAUCAACUUAGGGAGACCCUGGAAAAUACUCAGGUCCCCAACUUUAUCGCAGUGGAAAAUGCCUCUUCUUGUGAGUCAAGCAAAGAGAAGAGGCGAGUGAA